AGCUUUGCGCAGUGGCAGUAUCGUAGCCAAUGAGGUUAUCCGAGGCGCGAUUAUUGCUAAUUGAAAAGAAGGGACAGGGACAGGGACAUGGGGACCUGACAGAUGCUUCACGCGCAACUUUCAUUCUGAGAAU
ensembl:snRNA LOC120096091 U4 spliceosomal RNA